CCGGAUCAUAGGUCACCAGGAGGAGGAUCCCUAACAGUGAUGCAUGAGCUCUCUGCUGUCACUGGCUAGUCAUCGCCACGAGUUCUCAUGGACAAAGGGCCCGCGGCUCUUGGUGAUCCCAGGAUGCCGUUGGGCUCUGUGAUGUCAUGGAAAUUCUCAGCAGCUCACACACAGGACACGCACUUGUCAAUUAGCUUUGAGCUCACACGUCAAAAGAGACAGGUCUGUGGUUUCACAUUGCCCUUCCGGGAGACAACUCAUCUUGGCCAAUAACCAGCAUUAGCCCGGCCACGUCUUCAGCAGAGCCCUUCCUUCUCCUGAUGGUAAGAGGCUGGAUGGGUUUGUCAUCUCUCGUUUGAAGUACCCAUCAGAACGCUCUCAGGUCAUCUCUACCCACAGCCCCCUGACCACCAAAAUUUGGGAAAACUCCAGAAAUGCAGAUUUGAUUCAAUUCAAUUCAAUGACAUUUAUGAGAUACCUGCUACGCACAAGGAAAUGCAUUAAAAGUUACCGAAGACAUAAGGAUGAAAAAGGCCUGUCCCUUUCCUUCAGGGACUAUAUGGUGAUCUACAGAAAACGACAGACACAAACACAAGUAACUACACAAGACUACAAGACUGUGAGUAGGUGCUGUCAAAGGAGACCAACUCCAGGUUGCAUUUACCAAGCGUGUCCUCGGCCCGGAGCCCGCACUGACCACCUGCAGGCGUGCUUUCAUCUCCUUUCACAGCAACUUCGAGAGGCAGUGUUCUCAUUGAGUCCAUUUCACAGAUGAGGAAGCUGAGACUCAAGAGGCCAAGCCGUUUCCCAAGGUCACACAGCUGAUGCUGUGCUGCGGCAGGCCCCAGAACGGCAUGCACACCUGCGACUGUGCAUUCGCCACAGGCCCCCUCACUGCCCUAUCCAGUCACCGGAACACGACGGUGAACAGGACAGCCCCGUUGCUGCUUCUUGGAGCAAACACGAUGCUUUGGUAGCAGCGAUGAAGAAAAAUCUCUCAGGGAAGCAGAGGGGG
rnacentral:lncRNA from 1 species